ACUCCUACGGGAGGCAGCAGUGGGGAAUAUUGGACAAUGGGACGGGAGCCAUCAUCCAGCCAUGCGCGUGUGUGAAGAAGGCCUUAUGGUUGUAAAGCACUUUAAGCGAGGAGGAGGCUACUAGUAUUAAUACUACUGGAUAGUGGACGUUACUCGCAGAAUAAGCACCGGCUAACUCUGUGCCAGCAGCCGCGGUAAUACAGAGGGUGCGAGCGUUAAUCGGAUUUACUGGGCGUAAAGCGUGCGUAGGCGGCCAUUUAAGUCAAAUGUGAAAU
rnacentral:rRNA from 1 species